GUCCACGCCGUAAACGAUGAGUGCUAGACGUCGGGGGGCUUGCCCUUCGGUGUCGCAGCUAACGCGUUAAGCACUCCGCCUGGGGAGUACGGCCGCAAGGUUAAAACUCAAAGGAAUUGACGGGGGCCCGCACAAGCGGUGGAGCAUGUGGUUUAAUUCGACGCAACGCGAAGAACCUUACCAGCCCUUGACAUGUCGGGUUUUGGGCCUUCGAGAGAAGGCCCUUCAGUUCGGCUGGGCCCGACACAGGUGCUGCAUGGCUGUCGU
rnacentral:rRNA from 1 species